CCUAAAACCACAGCACCCCGAGGUGCCCGUGGCCCCGGGGAGACCUAGGACUGCAACUUUCCGCCACACAGACUUUCUUGAGUACUAGAAGAACCCGUUGUGCUGGCAGGUUGGAGUCCACUCUCGAGGCUCAGCCACUUGUUCCUGAGGACGUGAGCCUCAGUGGUCCCCACAGCACUGGCCCACCCCUCCCAGGAUGCCUCCGUUGCCCCACACGGCCUUUGCACUGGGGAGACACUGGCCUGGUGCUGCUCAGAGCCUGGGGUGUGGCCCAAGGCAGGCUCUCUGUGCUUCCCCGGCUGUCCUGGCCCAAGAGGACCCCAGUCCUGUAGCCCCAGCCCUGGGACAUCACAGGCUCCAAGCCCUGCCCUUAGUCCGUGCAGCCCCAUCGUUCCUUCUGUACCUUCUGUUCCAAAGAGGGUGUGGAAUACACCCCAGAAACAAGCCAAGCCCUGUUUCCUCCUGUGCCCUCCGCCAAUCUGACUGGAACCGUAACCCAUUCUCGGGCUCCUUCCAGAGUGACCACAGACCUGAGUUCCUCUCCAGACUCAAGACCCCCAUGCAGAGUCCAGAGCCCCAUCCCAGGUCCCACUAAUGCACCAACGAGACAUCACAGUGCGCCUGCAGCCCAUUUCCCAGAGAUCUGUUCGGCUUGCAACUAGCUGGGGAAAUUAUUUUCAAGACCAACUUCUCGGAUUGUGGUUCCCUCUUUUCUUUCCUCCUGGAACCCCCCCCACGCACCCCCAGCUUCAGAGCCAGGAAGCACACUGCUUGCAAGACAUCUUUGCAGCCCUCCCUCCUCCCAGCGUCCUGCCUGUAUCUGCAGCAAGUGCCUAGGCCGGGCCUGAGCCCCUGCUCCCCCACCCACAUCUCUCCCUCUCGCCGCAGAGACGGUGCGAGCCAUGACCCACGUCAUCAACCAGGGCAUGGCGAUGUACUGGGGCACGUCACGCUGGAGCUCCAUGGAGAUCAUGGAGGCCUACUCUGUGGCCCGGCAGUUCAACCUGAUCCCGCCCAUCUGCGAGCAGGCCGAGUACCACAUGUUCCAGCGCGAGAAGGUGGAGGUGCAGCUGCCUGAGCUGUUCCACAAGAUCGGGCUACCAGUGGCUGAAGGACAAGAUCCUGAGUGAGGAGGGUCGAGCGCCAGCAGGCUAAAGCUGAAGGAGCUGCAGGCUAUCCGCUGAGCGCCUGGGCUGCUCCCUCCCGCAGCUGGCAAUAGGUGAGGCUGGGCAUGGGGACAGGCCGUGUCCAGGGGCGUGGCAGAGGAGGUCCCCAAGAGCCCAGGCUAUGGUGUCCC
rnacentral:lncRNA from 1 species